UACGAAGGGUGCAAACGUUGCUCGGAAUUAUUGGGCGUAAAGCGCACGUAGGCGGCUUUGCAAGUCGGAUGUGAAAUCCCUCGGCUCAACCGUGGAAGUGCAUGGGAAACUGCAGUGCUUGAGUACUUAAGAGGAUCGCGGAAUUCCCGGUGUAGAGGUGAAAUUCGUAGAUAUCGGGAGGAACACCAGUGGCGAAGGCGGCGAUCUGGGAAGAUACUGACGCUGAGGUGCGAAAGCGUGGGGAGCAAACAGG
rnacentral:rRNA from 1 species